rnacentral:rRNA from 1 species
AUUGAACGCUGGCGGCAGGCUUAACACAUGCAAGUCGAGCGGGGUGAUGGUGCUUGCACUAUCACUUAGCGGCGGACGGGUGAGUAAUGCUUAGGAAUCUGCCUAUUAGUGGGGGACAACAUCUCGAGAGGGAUGCUAAUACCGCAUACGUCCUACGGGAGAAAGCAGGGGAUCACUUGUGACCUUGCGCUAAUAGAUGAGCCUAGGUCGGAUUAGCUAGUUGGUGGGGUAAAGGCCUACCAAGGCGACGAUCUGUAGCGGGUCUGAGAGAAUGAUCCGCCACACUGGGACUGAGAAACGGCCCAGACUCCUACGGGAGGCAGCAGUGGGGAAUAUUGGACAAUGGGGGGAACCCUGAUCCAGCCAUGCCGCGUGUGUGAAGAAGGCCUUAUGGUUGUAAAGCACUUUAAGCGAGGAGGAGGCUCUUUUGGUUAAUACCCAAGAUGAGUGGACGUUACUCGCAGAAUAAGCACCGGCUAACUCUGUGCCAGCAGCCGCCGUAA